UGUCCAACACUGUCCCUCUCGCACAUCUGAGCUGUUCACUGAUUCAUCACUUUUAUCUAAAGUACCGUUCAAUGAAUUUAAACUAAAUAUCAAAAAGAGCAGGUCGUGGUUUAGAGAUUCUUGUUCAAGAGACUGCGGACAUUAGAGUGGGAUCCAGAACGUUCUGGAAGGGAUUCAUGUAAACUCAACGAAACGACUCACUCGUUCAUAACUUUUGAAGGCACAGUUCCCUUUCACCGAACGGACAGAACCGCAAAAUCACAGCGGAGAUUGUGUAACGGCGGCUGGGUGUGUCGUUAGUUUAACGAGGUAAAUGGAUCCUCGUCCGCAGCCAGGCUAACGCCGCGUUCACACUGCACACGUCCGUCGACGGAUCUCAUCGACCUUGCAUGGGGACGGUUGAAAUGCAUUGUGGGUCGAUCCGUUCCGUCGGCUCCGUGGCCCGCGUCACAAAGUUGACGCCAGGUGUGUCUCUCUCCGGACAGGAAGCUGCAGUCCAAGAACACGACUGUCCACCAACGGGACGAGCUCUGCAGGCGGCCGCUAAGGCCCGCCCCCGACCCCCCGCAGAACGCAGGACCCCCCCCCCGCCGCCGACGGCCCCCCCGGGAGGAAGAGGAACAAGGCGAGCUGUGAGCCCACGGAGCGCGCCCGGACCCCUCCCACCCCCACCACCUCCACCACGGGCCCCGCGGAGCCCAAGAGGAUGAAGCUCGCUGGCGCCCCCACCGGGAGUGUCCCUGAGCCUUCAGCCUCCAACUGUGUCAUCCUGUGAUGGACGAGGUCAGAGGUCAGAGGUCAGGAGAAUCCCAAGGUCAUGUGACGCGGGUCAAAUCAACAAUUAUAUAUCAAUUUAUUUUUUAAUCUUUUUCGCCAUAUUCAAUUAUUUUAUAUGGAAACAUUAUAUUGCCAAAGACAAAAGUCUUAUCCAAUUGAUUUUGGAGACCUUUGCAUCGCUACUAUGACGAUUAUUAUUUUGAUUAUUAUUAUAACUACUACUACUAAAGCUUCAGCUGUGCGUCCCAUGUGCAAUAGAGCACAUUUGUGUGCUUUCGAGAGGACGCCGGGAAAUCGAUUAUUGAUGACUGAAAGAAAAAAAGAAGUGAAAUUGAUUAUCUUGAGUAAAGCGAGCUGCUUUUAACCGAAUGGGUGCAUGUUUACCAGCUGCACCUCAUUCCACCACCGCAAUGUGAUUAUACUAAUCUAUUAUGUGAUUAUUUUAUGCUACUGUAAAUACACCAAUCCUUGGAUAAACCUGACAGUUUAUCCUUCGACGUAUCCCGUCGCUUUUUUAUCUUUUUUUAAUCAUGACGUGAUUUUUGCCUUUCUGAUUAGGCUCUGUGUUUUAUACCGAAUUUCGGAUUUUUGUUAGUUUUUCUAUGCUGCUAUCUGUUACACUGGUCAAAAAAUAACAUUCCUACUGCCAUUUAUCAAUAAAACUCAAUUCUAAAUG